rnacentral:lncRNA from 1 species
AAGGUUUGGUUAGGAUUUGGUUUAGGAUUUAGGAUUUGGUUAGGAUUUGAUUUAGGGUAAGGAUGUGGCUAAGGCUUGAUUAGGAUUUGAUUUAGGAUUAGAUUUUAAUUAGGAUUUAUUUAGGGUUAGGAUUUGGUUAAGACUUGGUUUAGGAUUUAGGAUUUGAUUUAGGAUUUAAUGUUUGAAUAAGUUUUGAUUUAGGAUUUAGGAUUUGGUUAGGAUAUGAUUUAGGAUUAGGAUUUGGUUAGGAUUUGGUUAGGGUUUGAUUUAAGAUUAGGGUUUGAUUUAGGAUUUAGAGUUUGGUUUAAGAUUUAAAGUUUGGUUUAAGAUUUAAAGUUUGGUUAUAGUUUGAUUUAGGAUUUAGGAUUUUAUUAGGAUUUUUUGUCACGGACAUAUAUAUUUACCUCAAUAGUUACUUAUAUAAUUAAAUAGAAGUAUGUAAAAUAGAAUAAUUUCAUAAAGUC